rnacentral:tmRNA from 1 species
GGGGGUGUUCUGGUUUUGACAUCUGAUUAAUUGGCAGGCAAGCGUGCCGAGCGUUGGAAGAGUAGCUCGUUAAUAUCUAACUUUCAGCCAUAUAAUUGGCAACACUAAUGUAAGACUCGCUGCGUAAACUGCUAAGCAGACGCGCUUAAUCCUUGAGGCUCAAGGAGCUUCGGACGAGUAUCCCGCUCCCUUUUUUUCUUCUUGAAUGGAGCAUACGGGGUAUCAUACAAAAGAGGAAUGCGGUGGCAGACUCCUUUAAUGCCCCCUAAGAAAUAAAGGAUAAGCUGUCAUCUUGCCCGCUUUGGGGCGGGGCGGCAGACGAAAAUCAAACCAAAGAUACGCACGUAGAAAACCUGUUGGUGGUCUGAUUGGACAGCGGUUCGACUCCGCUCACCUCCACA